rnacentral:lncRNA from 1 species
CACUCACUGUAGUGCACUGUAAGUAAGUUUCGAGAUCAGGUGAGGUGGAACGGGACCGUCUCGAUUGUCAAAUCCUACAGUACUUAGAACAGUGAUUUUUCAGAUACUACUGCACGCAGUCGUCUACCAGACUCCGAUUCUUUAUAGCGCGCAUUAGUAAACGGUGUUUUGGUAGCCGUAAAGAUGUGCAGUGACGGAAGAAAACGUCAUUUCCACGGAUGACGUGAGGUAGAGCAGUUCCGACACUAGAUGGGGACACUCCCGGUAAACAGUAUCACAGGUCGCCGCAAACCGUGCACCUUCUCUCUUUUAAGCUGUGACCUUUACUCGGAUUCAAAUUAAUUGUCUUCGUUUUCUCAAAAAACCCGAAGCUGCACCACCGGAAAACACUUUGAACGAAGGUACCCCUUUUUCUUUCUGUGAAUACGGUUUCGGGGAUUUUUCGACCCACCGUUCAAGGGCGGACAAUUACUGAGCAGCACCGACACGGCCUCCUUUUUUAGUCACCAUGUAUCAGAGAAAAAGUGACUGAAGGUACAGCUGGUGAGCACCACUACAUUCCGAUACAAAGGGGUGAAUGAGACGGCGUGGCAAAAUUGACUGUCUUUUAUCUCCUGCUCUGUAUUGCUUUCGUUUAGUAAUCCCCGUCUUCCACUGAACGAUCAGUCUGUACUCCGGUGGUUGACACGCUAAUAUGUGACGCUGGCUGCUUACUAGAAAUCGCGUGUUCUUCAGUGAAAUGACCU